CAGCCGCCGCGGUAAUACGUAGGGUGCAAGCGUUAAUCGGAAUUACUGGGCGUAAAGCGUGCGCAGGCGGUUAUAUAAGACAGAUGUGAAAUCCCCGGGCUCAACCUGGGAACUGCAUUUGUGACUGUAUAGCUAGAGUACGGCAGAGGGGGAUGGAAUUCCGCGUGUAGCAGUGAAAUGCGUAGAUAUGCGGAGGAACACCGAUGGCGAAGGCAAUCCCCUGGGCCUGUACUGACGCUCAUGCACGAAAGCGUGGGGAGCAAACAGGAUUAGAUACCCGCGUAGUUCCUGUCUCUUAUAC
rnacentral:rRNA from 1 species